rfam:Alligator mississippiensis ScZkoYb_366, whole genome shotgun sequence.
GUUGGCUAUGGUGACAUGUGCCCUACCACCCCAGGAGGGAAGAUCGUGGGGACUCUGUGUGCUAUUGCAGGGGUAUUAACUAUUGCACUUCCUGUUCCAGUCAUUGUCUCAAAC